rnacentral:rRNA from 1 species
AUACGGAGGGUGCAAGCGUUAAUCGGAAUUACUGGGCGUAAAGCGUACGUAGGCGGUCCGUUAAGUUAGAUGUGAAAGCCCCGGGCUUAACCUGGGAACUGCAUUUAAAACUGGCGAACUAGAGUUGAGUAGAGGGGAGUGGAAUUUCAGGUGUAGCGGUGAAAUGCGUAGAGAUCUGAAGGAACACCAGUUGCGAAGGCGACUCCCUGGACUCGAACUGACGCUGAGGUACGAAAGCGUGGGUAGCAAACGGGAUUAGAAACCCUAGUAGUCC